rnacentral:tRNA from 1 species
GGAGAGAUGGCUGAGUUGGUCUAAGGCGCACGAUUGGAAAUCGUGUGUGGACUAAUACUCCACCGAGGGUUCGAAUCCCUCUCUCUCCGCCA